rnacentral:lncRNA from 1 species
AUUCUUAAGUUGACACGAAUCAAAAUCUUAAUUUUAAUCCAUCUAUGAAUUGAAUUUGCAUGUAUAAAUUUCAAUUUGAGAAUCACAUCUAAACUAGUUUUUGACGAAGCUAAAACUUACCAGAUUCUUUUUAAGAAAGAACCCUUUUGACCUACAUGAAUCAUAGCUAGGAGGAAUCUUGAUCCAGUUACAAUCUUGAUAAACAUAAACAAUUAUCAACUAGCAAUGCUUUUUCACAUGAACUAAGAUUAAAUUACUCUCCCAAUCAUCAUUUACCAUAUUCAUUUACCUAUACACCUACCAAAUCUUAUACAGAGUAAAUUAACUACAGUAAAAAAAAAGUAAAAAGGAAAACCCCU